rnacentral:tRNA from 1 species
GGGCGCUUAGCUCAGGGUGAGAGCGCUUGCUUGACAUGCAAGAGGUCCCUGGUUCGAUCCCAGGAGCGCCCGCCA